UACGUAGGGCGCAAGCGUUGUCCGGAAUUAUUGGGCGUAAAGAGCUCGUAGGCGGCCUGUUGCGUCCGCUGUGAAAUCCCGGGGCUCAACCCCGGGCCUGCAGUGGAUACGGGCUGGCUAGAGGCAGGCAGGGGAGAACGGAAUUCCUGGUGUAGCGGUGAAAUGCGCAGAUAUCAGGAGGAACACCUGUGGCGAAAGCGGCUCACUGGACCACAACUGACGCUGAGGCGCGAAAGCUAGGGGAGCAAACAGG
rnacentral:rRNA from 1 species